GACGAACGCUGGCGGCGUGCUUAACACAUGCAAGUCGAACGGAAAGGCCCUGCUUUUGUGGGGUGCUCGAGUGGCGAACGGGUGAGUAACACGUGAGUAACCUGCCCUUGACUUUGGGAUAACUUCAGGAAACUGGGGCUAAUACCGGAUAGGAGCUCCUGCUGCAUGGUGGGGGUUGGAAAGUUUCGGCGGUUGGGGAUGGACUCGCGGCUUAUCAGCUUGUUGGUGGGGUAGUGGCUUACCAAGGCUUUGACGGGUAGCCGGCCUGAGAGGGUGACCGGCCACAUUGGGACUGAGAUACGGCCCAGACUCCUACGGGAGGCAGCAGUGGGGGAUAUUGCACCAUGGGCGGAAGCCUGAUGCAGCAACGCCGCGUGCGGGAUGACGGCCUUCGGGUUGUAAACCGCUUUCGCCUGUGACGAAGCGUGAGUGACGGUAAUGGGUAAAGAAGCACCGGCUAACUACGUG
rnacentral:rRNA from 1 species